rnacentral:rRNA from 1 species
AGGGAAUCUUCCGCAAUGGGCGAAAGCCUGACGGAGCAACGCCGCGUGAGUGAUGAAGGUCUUCGGAUCGUAAAACUCUGUUAUUAGGGAAGAACAUAUGUGUAAGUAACUGUGCACAUCUUGACGGUACCUAAUCAGAAAGCCACGGCUAACUACGUGCCAGCAGCCGCGGUAAUACGUAGGUGGCAAGCGUUAUCCGGAAUUAUUGGGCGUAAAGCGCGCGUAGGCGGUUUUUUAAGUCUGAUGUGAAAGCCCACGGCUCAACCGUGGAGGGUCAUUGGAAACUGGAAAACUUGAGUGCAGAAGAGGAAAGUGGAAUUCCAUGUGUAGCGGUGAAAUGCGCAGAGAUAUGGAGGAACACCAGUGGCGAAGGCGACUUUCUGGUCUGUAACUGACGAUGAUGUGCGAAAGCGUGGGGAUCAAACAGGAUUAGAUACCCUGGUAGUCCACGCCGUAAACGAUGAGUGCUAAGUGUUAGGGGGUUUCCGCCCCUUAGUGCUGCAGCUAACGCAUUAAGCACUCCGCCUGGGGAGUACGACCGCAAGGUUG